GCACGUAGGAAAAGAAAGUGCACCCACCAGACAGUGCUAUACUAGAGCAGAGGAAAUCCAGACGAGUUGUUUCCAUCUGCUCUGGGGCCUGUAUCUACAACUCUGCCAUACUU
rnacentral:snoRNA from 1 species